CUGCGUCCCAGGGCUCCAGAGACCCAGGCUGCCAAACUGUGCCAUGGUGGGAACUCCAGAUGAAAUGCUCUCAAGCUGGGUCUUUUCCUUACGUAUUUAGGCUGUUGAUGCUGAGGACCGUUCUAUCCACGUUUACAUCUGUAUCAUUCUCUUGGUUUCAGCAUUUGUAGUCUUUAGGUGUCUGUAAAUUCCACAAGGCGAUGAGGCCACAUCCCCUUCAGCACUGGAUGCACGUGCCAGCGCAAUGCGUAGUAGGGCAUAUUAUGUGAAAAUAGGAUGGUCCCUGCAAAGCUCAGAGACUGGCAGGGGGAGAGGAGCUUGUAAUGAGAUGAGCAGGGCACAGUAGAUUGAGUGCUGCGAUGGAGUGUACACAGUAGAUGCUCAGUUAAUAUUUGCUGAGUGACUAAAUGAAAUGUGGUCCAGUGUACUAACUACUCCUCUUGCCACGAUUAGCUUAUCAUGUUCUUAGAUGAAGUUAGCAAUUAUGGAAUCAAAAUGGGUUUGAGGAAAGAUGGAGAUACUUGCCAUCAUAUUUCUUAACUCUUAAGAUCUUCUCAACUCUUCUGUAAGCAGACUGGCCAAAACAGAUGAAAAUACUGAAUCCAGUAAUUUCCAAAUUUGUUGUAUGGGAGGGGAGAAUGAGACACCAGAGUCGUUUUCAUUUUGUUAACUGAUUAUAUCAUAAUUAUUGAGCCAUAACGGUCACAUUGCUUUUUCUAUGGCUAUUUAACAGAGAAGCAUCAUUUAGGGCUCAAGGAAUCUAAGUCAGUAGUGAUGAAAUGUUUAUGAUCUGGGAAUGAUAAAUCACUUAUCUUACCUUGCUACUCUCCCCACAUAAGAGUCUUUAGUGGCUAGAUUUUAACUCUUUUACAAUUUUUUCCUUAGUCACACAACAAUUUCUUAACAAUCAUUUGCACAUAACACUAGAGACAAAUAGAGAAAAAUUCUAGUUCUUGCUUUAUCUUGGAGCAUUCAGGAUAUUUUUGUUUACAAAUGAUCUUUCAUUCCUAACAAGAUUUUCACUUUAUUUAAAAAAAACCCUACUUAUUCACUCAAUCAAUAUUUGUUGUUUUUUUAAACGUUCAUUUUUUUCACACAAUAUUAUUCAAUACUGGUUAUAUUCAUAAGUGUGUGCUAGAGACAAAGCAUAUUCAGUGAAGAAAGGUAGGUAUCUGCCGUCAAAAAGUUCAGAGCCUCACAGGGGAAGAGAGGCCUACCUGUAAGCAGGCAAGAACAGUGAUUUCUUCAGAGGCCAGGAAAAGAAGAGAAAAUCUCUCUUUAGCGAAGUCAGUGGAGACUUUGAGAAGACAUCACAUCUUUUACUUGGCCUUAGGUGACAGGAAGAACAUUUUGUAGACAUCAGGGAAAAAGAAGGUAGCUUGGGAACUGGGAAAGGAAAGGGAACGUGGAAGCAGGAAGGCCAAGGGAAAAGCAGAUGCACAAUCAGAGAUCACGGUAGGCCGUGGAAUAUUCUGGAAAUAUGGGGAGAAAUCUUGAAGGAUGGGCUAGGGAGAGAUGGCGAAGAGCCCUACGGGAUGUGCUAAGAGCUUUGUACUCACAUUUGCAGGGCAGCAGAGACUGAACAGUAGAGGAACACGUGGUGGCCACCAUCAAGAUGCAGCAUGGACUCCCACCCCAACCUUAGUUGGGAUGCAGGGAUCAGUGUAUCCCUCCCUCCCUCCCUCCCUCCCUCCCUCCUUCCCUCCUCUCCUUUCCCCGUCACCCCACACACUCCAAGAGGGUAUGAAAAGAUAUAUCACUCACAUGAUGAGACUUUCUGGGCAGAGCAGGAUAGCCCCCAAGUAGGUCCUAAAAUGGAUUGAGAGAGGGCACGGGAGGAGGGAAACGGGAGGAGAGAAGACUGGCCUUAAGUUUCUAUGGUGGGGUCAAGGGUUCCCAUGCGUGGGAAGAGGCUUAUAUGGUUUGAAUCUCUCAGUAGCACUAAAGGAAAGUACACCUAGACUUUCUUAUAAGCCUUGCCCACUUGUGGGACCGAAGGAGAAGGCUUGAGAUGAGGCUUAAAAGCUGUUAGCAGACAAGCAUCAUUACACUAGCAUAAUCAGACUCGGGGGAGAGGGGCCAUGAGCCUUGAGAAGAUAACCUGGAAAAGAAUGAGACUAGACCAGAGGAACCUGCAGGAGGUUUUGGCAAAUCCCCAGGUCAAAGGAAGUAAGGAUCUGAACAGUGACAGAGAGAAUAAGGAUGGUUGAGGAAUGUUUCUGGGGAAGAAUUGAGCUUUGGUAGCCGGUGAUCACGGUAGAGAGUGAGAGGGGCUGCUCCAGGAUGACUUUGAGGGCUGGUUGUACCACUAGAGAAACUAACGUAGGAUAUAUGGGAGGAAGGACAGGUGGUGAGGAGGAGACUGUGAGUUAUUUCAGUUUCAUGAAACUGAUCCCUGCAUCCUAACUAAGGUUGGGGUUUUGAAAUGUCAUGGCCUAGUGCCACCACAUCCUUUGAGAAAGGCACCGCAGGAGUUCCAGACUCUGCCUUCUUCUGGGUCAUCCUGAGCAUUGGUGGUCACAUACGGUCAUGCUAAAAAUUAAUGUCCCUCUGUGAAGCCCAACUGAGCAUGAUUUCCUUUUCAUUUUCCGGGAAAAUGUUACUGUUUCUUUUUUUUUUUUUUUUUAAUUUUUUUUUCCCACUGUACACCAAGGGGGGCAGGUUAUCCUUACAUGUAUACAUUGCAAUUACAGUUUUUCCCCCACCCUUUCUUCUGUUGCAACAUGAGUAUCUAGUUAUUCCAAAAUCCCUCCCCAUGGAAAUGACUGAUAUCAUAUUAGUGUAUUAUGUUCUAGAGAGGGGCCACGGGAGACCAGAUAUGAGAAAAACGCUGUCAAAAAAAGUGAGCAGCAACUUCAAAGGGGAAGUAAGGUUUGUUCUGGGUCUUUGAGGAUUUUUGAGAAUAUUUGCUGACCAUGAAGGGGGAGAAAGUGGGCCGAGCGUGGAGGUAUAGGAGAAUGAGGAAGGAUACACAUUUGAAAGUUGAGAUCAUAUGGCUCCUUAUGAUUUAUAACCCAGUAUUUUAACUUAGUAUAUUAUUAUUAUUAUUAUUAUUUUUUGCCUUUUCUAGGGCCGCACCCGCGGCAUAUGGAGGUUCCCAGGCUAGGAGUCUAAUCAGAGCUGUAGCUGCUGGCCUACGCCACAGCCACAGCAACACCAGAUCCAAGCCUCACCUGCAACUGCAGCUCACGGCAAUACUGGAUCCUUAACCCACUGAGCGAGGCCAGGGAUCAACCCCGCGUCCUCAUGGAUGCUAUUCAGUUUCCUUACCACUGAGCCACGACGAGAGCUCCCAGAGUAUCAGUUUCUGAGCAUUGGGCUUGCGGCUUUCCUUUUGAUCCAGGCUCUAGAGGUCAGCAAGUGUGAUUGCAUGAGUAGUUAUUUCCUCCUGUAUUAAAAAAGAAAAAAAUUUUUUUUGUAUUUGAAAAUUUUGACGUAUAUUUCAGUUUUUUAGUUGUUACAACUGAAGAUCUUUAUAGAUCAAAAAGUAGAGUUUCCAAGGACUCAAAAGGUUAAUUGCGCUUUUUUUUUCUCAGUUUCAUGGAGUAAUCACUGGCAUACAUCACAGUAUAUAUUACAGCAUAUAGCACGGUGGUUUGAUUUACAUAUAUUAUGGAAUGAUUAUAAGGUUUCAUUUCGGAGAGACCGCAGUGCGUGAUGGCUUGAAGUGAGAUUUAAUUCUCUGCUCAGGAGUUGAACCUGAGCAGCCUGGAUGACAACUAGGAAUCCCAGCCACUAGGCCAGCUAGAGGCUAAAAGCAGAAUGGCCCUGAUUUGUGCCCCCCAUUGAAAGUAAGACUGUUUCGAGGAGGCAGAGACUGGAAAAACAGGUAUAAAGUUUAUUGUUAGAAACACAAUACAGCAUGUGGGAGCACACACAGAGAAUAGUCUGUUUAUCUAAGGCAGAAGCAAAGCAGUGAUACACACACAUCCAAAGGAAUGAGGGCGCCGGCGUCCCCUUCAAUGAGGAGCACACCAGAGAGGUGGUUUAAAUCACUUAUAUAUGAUAGUUCUUCUGGCUCUUUAUCUUCCUUUGGUCAGUUAUCUUGUUUUAUCUUUUGUACCUGACCAGACCCAGGGCCUUCCUCCCAUCUGCGUGCAUGUCUUUUGGCCAAGAUGGAUUCUGAAGCAAAGCAUGGUGGGAAGGUUAUCUAGACUUAGUAUGGCCUGUCCCCGCCUCCAUGUCUGACCCAGAGGGGUCUCUCUGCGCAUGUGUAGUUGGGGUCUCCCUGACCCUGAGGAUGGGGAGUACGUGACUCUUGGUCUUUUGUCCAGGCAGAGCUCAGCCCCUCUUUUGAUCCUGUCAUUACCAUUGUUGAGCAAGUUCUCAGAAGACAUGUCCCAGUUAUUUGCUUGUGCCUGUUGUUAAUUCUAUCUUGAAGUAUAGCUAGGUAGCUGGUGGUAAAUGUUUAUCCCAGAGCCCCCCAUCUCCUGCUUCAAGAAGUAUAAAUAAGAGGCUAGUUGCGAAUGUGUAUCCCCGAGCCCAUCUAUCUCCUGCCUCAGGUUCAGCUUACAUCCAUCAUGCAAGUUUUGCUUUUUAAAAAAUUUGUAUGUAUUGUGGCAAGGAAGUCACCUGCCAGACUAUGGGGACCCCAGGGAUGUGUGCUCUUGUCGGUCAAGAAAAGGGAUUCUGUG
rnacentral:lncRNA from 1 species